UCCAUCCAGGGUGUCCCAACAUCCAUCCAGGGUGUCCCAAAAUCCAUCCAGGGUGUCCCAAAUCCAUCCAGGGUGUCCCAAAUCCAACCAGGAUGUCCCCAAGUCCAACCAGGACAUCACCAAAUCCAUCCAGGGUGUCCCAAAUCCAUCCAGGGUGUCCCAAAAUCCAUCCAGGGUGUCCCAAAAUCCAUCCAGGGUGUCCCCAAGUCCAACCAGGGUGUCCCAAAGUCACCAAAUGCUACCAGGAUGUCCCCAAGUCCCCAAGUGUCCCCAGGUGUCCCUAAGAUAUUCCCAGGUGUCCCUGAGGUGUCCCCACAUCUCCCCAGGUACCCCAGGUGUCCCCCAGCUGUCCCCAAGGUAUCCCCAGCUGUCCCCAAGGUAUCCCCAAGGUGUCCCCAGCUGUCCCCAGGGUGUCCCCAGGUGUCCCUGAGGUAUCUCCACAUCUCCCCA